AUAACACAACAUAGAAAACUAAAGAAUAAACAACACGAACCCCACCAAAAACUAGGGGUGAUCUCAGGUGCUCCGGAAGGAUAAGCAGAUCCUGCUCCACAUGUGGCACCCGUCGUGUUGCUUAUGUGAUUACAAAUCCGGUAAAUAGUCUAAUUCGGUAGGUCACAUUCAUGAAAGGGAAGGGGAUUGUAGUUACGACGUAAAGAA
rnacentral:lncRNA from 1 species